GGUCGGUUGUCCGAGUGGUCAGGAGCCAGUCUGCAAAACUGAACACGGCGGUUCGAUUCCGCGACCGACCU
rnacentral:tRNA from 1 species